rnacentral:tRNA from 1 species
AUUCAAAUAUCUUAUAUAAUAGAGUAUAACACUGAAGUUGUUAUUGAGAUAUUUAUUAUCUUUGAAUA